GACGACCUCGAUGGCGCAAUGGUCACCAUGCCGGACUGCCGAACCUGAGGUCCCGGGUUCGAUUCUCGGUUCGGUCGACAUUUGUGUGAUGAGCAUGCUUGUUGGCCGUGGUCUGGGUGUUACAAUAUGUAUUUAUAAAUAUGUAUAUAUGUAGCUUUAUGUAGUUUAUCAGUUGUGUUAGCACCCAUAACACAAGUUAAUUAAUAACUUACCAUGGGGCUAACCGACCGUGUGUGAAAAAUGUCCCGGCAUUAUUUGUUUAUUUAUU
rnacentral:lncRNA from 1 species